rnacentral:rRNA from 1 species
UCAACCUGGUUGAUCCUGCCAGUAGUCAUAUGCUUGUGUUAAAGAUUAAGCCAUGCAAGCCUAAGUACGAAGCCGCUGCUUAUGGUUAAACUGCGGAAGGCUCCAUAGAUCAGUAAUCAUUCGUUUGGCGAUUUGAUUUGUACUUGGAUAACCCUGUUAAUUGUAGAGCUAAUACAUGCAUCGACGACCCGAUU